AAGUCGUAACAAGGUUUCCGUAGGUGAACCUGCGGAAGGAUCAUUAACGAGGUUUAAUCGGCCUGUGCUGGCACGUGUAGUGCAUGUGCACGGUCGUUCUUCUUCUAUCAACCCCUGUGCACUUCAUUUGGAAUCGGAGGGAAGCGCGUCGCGAGAGAUUAGCGUAGUACUUGUGAGUCCUCUCUGGACUCACAGAGAAAGGUUAAGCUGUCAAUCGUCGCGUGGUACUUUCGCUUCUGAACAUCCUUUAUAAACCACCAAUGUAGUCCAGUCAGAACGUUCAGUCCUACGGGACGCUAAAUGUUAAUACAACUUUCAACAACGGAUCUCUUGGCUCUC
rnacentral:misc_RNA from 1 species